UACGGAGGGUGCGAGCGUUGUCCGGAAUCACUGGGCGUAAAGGGCGCGUAGGCGGCUCGGUAAGCGUGCGGUGAAAGCCUGGGGCUCAACCCCGGGUCGGCCGUGCGAACUGUCGAGCUCGAGCACUGUAGAGGAGAUUGGAAUUUACGGUGUAGCAGUGAAAUGCGUAGAUAUCGUAAGGAAGACCAGUGGCGAAGGCGAAUCUCUGGACAGUUACUGACACUGAGGCACGAAGGCCAGGGGAGCAAACGGG
rnacentral:rRNA from 1 species